GACGCACAUCAACGGGGUAACCCAUUGGUAUGACGGAGCGGCGAACGGGUGCGUAACACGUGAGCAACCUACCCCUAAGACCGGGAUAGCCCGAAGAAAUUCGGAUUAAUACCGGAUACCCUGCCCGAAUCUCAUGGUAUUGGUCAGGAAAUGCUUUUGCGCUUUGGGAUGGGCUCGCGGCCUAUCAGCUUGUUGGUGAGGUAACGGCUCACCAAGGCGACGACGGGUAGCUGGUCUGAGAGGACGAUCAGCCACACUGGAACUGAGACACGGUCCAGACUCCUACGGGAGGCAGCAAGAGGGAAUAUUGCGCAAUGGGCGAAAGCCUGACGCAGCAACGCCGCGUGAGGGAUGACGGCCUUCGGGUUGUAAACCUCUUUCAGUGGGGACGAAAUUGACGGUACCCACAGAAGAAGCACCGGCCAACUACGUGCCAGCAGCCGCGGUAAUACGUAGGGUGCAAGCAUUGUCCGGAUUUAUUGGGCGUAAAGAGCUCGUAGGCGGCUUAACAAGUCGGUCGUGAAAUACCGAGGCUUAACCUCGGGGAGUCGGUCGGAACUGUUAUAGCUAGAGUACGGUAGAGGAGAGUGGAAUUCCCGGUGUAGCGGUGGAAUGCGCAGAUAUCGGGAGGAACACCAGUAGCGAAGGCGGCUCUCUGGGCCGUUACUGACGCUGAGGAGCGAAAGCGU
rnacentral:rRNA from 1 species